CAAAUGUAGGCGUACCGGAACUAAAAAUCUUGAAGUAAACAAUGUUUUUUUUUAUGAAAGCAAUUUUAUGAAGUAAGUAUUUUAAUACAUUACUAUUUAGAGAGUAUAUUAGUUAUACAGUCAUGCACUUAAAAAACAGACAUGCAUAAUUUCUAUCAAUGUUGUGGUUAUUAUAUUAAAUCAAAAUAGGUUAGAAUUAAAUAUGUUAAAGGUCAACGUGCUUCAUUAUUGACUGAAUAAACAUAGAUAAUUUCUAUAAAUAAUUAUACACUGUUAAAUAUUCCACAAUUUCAAUGUACUUUCUGUAUUUUGGUAAACUAUACUUGAUUAUUUGUCCAGUCGCUCUUUUAUAACCAGCCUUUGUAUGCCGAUGACGUCACAGGAGGGGGCAUUUAGUGUUAUACCCUUGCCCUUUCCGUCUGUCUGUCUGUACGUCCGUCCGCACGCACGCACUAACGUCCGUACAUUCUUAUAUUGGUUUCUAUUCUGUAACUUUAGUUUGCCUCAACCAAAUGUAAUGCCACUUAUACAAAAUGCUAAUUACCACAUCAUACAGACCUAGUUAGAAUUUGGGUGUCGUUACUUUUGCCGUUUUAUGACCAUUUAUAAAGUUAUAUAUAAUUAUGCAAGCGGGGGCAUCAUCUCCAUUUAUGUAUAACCAGUUUAGUACUGCAAUCCCAUUCUUGAUUUAGAAAAAAAAUAUAUUCAAAGAAUAUUUAAAGUAGAGCGUGAUUGUUCUUCAAUAGUAACAACUGCGUCACCGGGGAUCGACGCAGGGACCACUACGACGUUACAAUGUAAUCUACUACUCUACCAACCCAAACCUUAGGAGAGGUGUUGCUGAUGGAGGUUGGACACAUAUCUAUUAGUUCAACUGAAGCACCUCAGUACAACACCAACUUACUAGUAUUCUGAUUUCAUUUGAAUGUAUAAAUGGUAAUUUUCGACAUUAAGCACUCACUAAACUCAGUUUUUCGUUUGAAGUACCAAUAGUAGAUAAGUAGUUUUCUUCCAAACUUGAUCACUUAACACCUUAAAUAGAAGAUGGAACCCCUAACAUGGCAUUGUAGUUAACCAAAUGUCUUUCACUGAACUAUAAUUCACAGGCGGAGCUUAUGGAGUAAAAUGACUCAUACACCGAUCUUGUUGUUUUUUCUACAAGCACAACCACUUUCUAUCAUGCGAUUUUGCAUACUUAGUUUGACAACGUUUUAUACGGAAUAGUCACAGACAUUGAGUCAUGAAUUCAUUUGAUAUCGAUCUUGGUUUACAUAAAGUAAGAAGAGUAAAGGUACUGCUUAUAUAAAACUUUUAGGAUUGAGCUAGUAAUGAUAAAAACAAGGAUGAAACAAUAUAGAAAUAUUGUAUUGCAAAAUAUCUGUCACUUAAAAAGUUAUCCGUAAAUGAUUCCCAUAUUAUCGCUUGUCGAAAAGUUAUUUUGCAAUGCAAAAAUUAACAAGAAAAACCGUUGCAGAACUGAUUCAAAUAGUGACUUCAAAUUAAGAUGUUCAUCGUUUUAAGUAGACUCUACUUGUCUCUGGUGUGGAGUGUGUAAUGUGUUUUCUAAAUGUCGGCAAUUUUCUUAAAAAAGAGAUAUAAAAUUGAGAAUGGAAAUGGAGAAUAUGUCAAAGAGACAACAACCCGACCAAAGAACUGUUACAGACAACAGCCGAAGGCCACCAAUGGGUCUUCAACGCAGCAAGAAAAUACCGCACCUGAAGGUGGGCCUCAGCUGGCUCCUAAAUAAAAUUGUGUACUAGUUCAGUGAAAUGCACGUCAACUUGACUAAACUCCAAAACAUAUAAAUGAACUAAAAUUAAAAAAAACAUACAAGACUAACAAAAGCCAGAGGCUCCUGACUUGGGACAGACGCAAAAAUGCGGAGGGGUUAAACAUGUUAAAACAAAAACAUUUGUUUACACAUGGUUGAGGACUGGCAAUCAAAAAGAAUCCCUAUCUUUUAUUAUACCAAGGAUUUUCUCUAUAAUAAACAGCUUUUAAAUAUAAUUCCAGACAUGAUGAAUGUGCGCAGAAUUCUUCAGCCAAGUUCAAAGUUUAUAAAGGGCUUUACAGUACAGUGCUAUUCAUGUCGUACUUCCACAACCAUUGCAGAUGCCAGAAAUGAACCACCGCUAUCUGCGGAUGUUAAACCAUUCAAUCAAGUCCCUGGGCCUCGAGGACUUUAUAACAUACCUUACCUUGGCGCGGCAUUUCAUUUUAAACCUUUUAGUAAGUAUACUGAUGGAGUGUAGUAUCUUUGCACAUGAUAGUUUAAAUAUUGUUUUGAG
rnacentral:lncRNA from 1 species